CCCGGCGAUGAAUCGCCGGGCUAAUCUCAGGUGUCCCUACGGGACA
rnacentral:sRNA from 1 species